UACGGAGGGUGCGAGCGUUGUCCGGAAUCACUGGGCGUAAAGGGCGCGUAGGCGGCGCGAGCAGUCGAUCGUGAAAGUCCGGAGCUCAACUCCGGAUCGGCGGUCGAUACUCUCGUGCUUGAGCACUGUAGAGGCAGAUGGAAUUCCGGGUGUAGCGGUGGAAUGCGUAGAGAUCCGGAAGAACACCGGUGGCGAAGGCGGUCUGCUGGGCAGUAGCUGACGCUGAUGCGCGACAGCGUGGGGAGCAAACAGG
rnacentral:rRNA from 1 species